AUGAACGCUGGCGGCGUGGAUAAGGCAUGCAAGUCGGACGAUUUCCUUUUUUGAAGAAGAUGCGAUUACAUCAAGUCAACUGAUAUUUUGGAGAUAGUGGCGAACGAGCUAGUAACACCUUGGUACGUACCCAAAAGUUUGGUAUAGCUCGCCGAGAGGCGGGGUAAUCCCAAAUAAUCCCUCUAUCUAUCGGAUAGAAGGGUAAAGUCGCAAGACGCUUUUGGAGCGGCCUAGGACCGAUCAGUUAGUUGGUGAGGUAAUGGCUCACCAAGACGAUGACCGGUAGGGG
rnacentral:rRNA from 1 species